rnacentral:rRNA from 1 species
GACGAACGCUGGCGGCGUGCUUAACACAUGCAAGUCGAACGGAAAGGCCCUGCUUUUGUGGGGUGCUCGAGUGGCGAACAGGUGAGUAACACGUGAGUAACCUGCCCUUGACUUUGGGAUAACUUCAGGAAACUGGGGCUAAUACCGGAUAGGAGCUCCUGCUGCAUGGUGGGGGUUGGAAAGUUUCGGCGGUUGGGGAUGGACUCGCGGCUUAUCAGCUUGUUGGUGGGGUAGUGGCUUACCAAGGCUUUGACGGGUAGCCGGCCUGAGAGGGUGACCGGCCACAUUGGGACUGAGAUACGGCCCAGACUCCUACGGGAGGCAGCAGUGGGGAAUAUUGCACAAUGGGCGGAAGCCUGAUGCAGCAACGCCGCGUGCGGGAUGACGGCCUUCGGGUUGUAAACCGCUUUCGCCUGUGACGAAGCGUGAGUGACGGUAAUGAGUAAAGAAGCACCGGCUAACUACGUG